rnacentral:rRNA from 1 species
ACUCCUACGGGAGGCAGCAGUGGGAAUAUUGGACAAUGGGCGCAAGCCUGAUCCAGCCAUACCGCGUGGGUGAAGAAGGCCUUCGGGUUGUAAAGCCCUUUUGUUGGGAAAGAAAAGCAGCCGGUUAAUACCCGGUUGUUCUGACGGUACCCAAAGAAUAAGCACCGGCUAACUUCGUGCCAGCAGCCGCGGUAAUACGAAGGGUGCAAGCGUUACUCGGAAUUACUGGGCGUAAAGCGUGCGUAGGUGGUUGUUUAAAGUCUGUUGUGAAAGCCCUGGCUCAACCUGGGAAUUGCAGUGGAUACUGGGCGACUAGAGUGUGGUAGAGGGUAGUGGAAUUCCUGGUGUAGCAGUGAAAUGCGUAGAGAUCAGGAGGAACAUCCAUGGCGAAGGCAGCUACCUGGACCAACACUGACACUGAGGCACGAAAGCGUGGGGAGC